CAGCAGCCACGGGAAUACGAAGGGGGCUAGCGUUGUUCGGAAUUACUGGGCGUAAAGCGCACGUAGGCGGAUAUUUAAGUCAGGGGUGAAAUCCCGCAGCUCAACUGCGGAACUGCCUUUGAUACUGGGUAUCUUGAGUAUGGAAGAGGUAAGUGGAAUUCCGAGUGUAGAGGUGAAAUUCGUAGAUAUUCGGAGGAACACCAGUGGCGAAGGCGGCUUACUGGUCCAUUACUGACGCUGAGGUGCGAAAGCGUGGGGAGCAAACAGGAUUAGAUACCCGUGUAGUCCCUGUCUCUUAUAC
rnacentral:rRNA from 1 species